rnacentral:lncRNA from 1 species
CGUAGGUAUCGAGUCCGUAUACAAAAUUUCUAGGCUCUUCUACGAAUCUUGAAUAUUGACAUCUCAUUUAACCGUUUUGUGACAUUUCAUAAUUUGACAAUUCUGGACGUGGAUCAUGAUAUAAUUGUAAACGGCUGUCUGUUUAGAUGUCCAAGUCUAAGAAAAUGGACAAUAUUGGACUUUUAUGAGAUGAAACCACUAUAUUAGAUACGGCUUAGAAAUAUAACAUGAGCAUCAAGUCGAUCAUGUUAAAUCGUGUCGUAUUUGAGUUUAUGAUAGGAAUUUACACAUGCUUUAGUAAAAAUUAUAUUUUUAAACGCUAAAAUCAUAUAAACAAUUAGUCGACUCUCACCGACAUAAAUUCAGCUAAGUGGAAGAUCACAUGUACGUGGCCCAAACGUAUCAUAUUACGGCUGGAUCAGAUUCAAAUCAGUAGUGUGGACCAUCAACAACUUAUGCCACACCCACGCAAGAAAUAACACGGUUUAAAAGAUAUUACCACUAUACAUUAUAGAUGCAUGAAUGUGGCGUGUGUGAAAUUUUCUUAGAAUUAUAACAAUAUAUAUAAUAUUAUAUCUUCCUGCAAACUAGUUCGCUAGUUUAUUUGACCACACUCUUUUAGCAAUUUCAGUAAUAUAAUAUUACUUUACGCUAACAAUUGCAACUGCUAGGUACAAUCAGUGUUCUAAAACGCGGCCGCCUAACCGCUUAGGCGGCCGCCUAGCCGUUAGACGGAGGUCAACCGCCGCGAUUUUGACCGAAUCGGUGCAAUUAAUCGGAAUUCCGAUUAAUCGUUUUAUUAACCGAUUACUCGCCAAUUAAACCGAUUUUAUCAGUAAAAUAUUGGACUUCGUUGACAAAUACUC